rnacentral:rRNA from 1 species
ACGGGAGGCAGCAGUGGGGAAUUUUGGACAAUGGGCGCAAGCCUGAUCCAGCAAUGCCGCGUGUGUGAAGAAGGCCUUCGGGUUGUAAAGCACUUUUGUCCGGGAAGAAAUCCCUGGUCCUAAUAUGGCCGGGGGAUGACGGUACUGGAAGAAUAAGCACCGGCUAACUACGUGCCAGCAGCCGCGGUAAUACGUAGGGUGCGAGCGUUAAUCGGAAUUACUGGGCGUAAAGCGUGCGCAGGCGGUGAUGUAAGACCGAUGUGAAAUCCCCGGGCUUAACCUGGGAACUGCAUUGGUGACUGCAUCGCUCGAGUAUGGCAGAGGGGGGUAGAAUUCCACGUGUAGCAGUGAAAUGCGUAGAGAUGUGGAGGAAUACCGAUGGCGAAGGCAGCCCCCUGGGUCAAUACUGACGCUCAUGCACGAAAGCGUGGGGAGCAAACAGGAUUAGAUACCCUGGUAGUCCACGCCCUAAACGAUGUCAACUGGUUGUCGGGCCUUCAUUGGCUUGGUAACGUAGCUAACGCGUGAAGUUGACCGCCUGGGGAGUACGGUCGCAAGAUUAAAACUCAAAGGAAUUGACGGGGACCCGCACAAGCGGUGGAUGAUGUGGAUUAAUUCGAUGCAACGCGAAAAACCUUACCUACCCUUGACAUGUAUGGAAUCCUGCUGAGAGGUGGGAGUGCCCGAAAGGGAGCCAUAACACAGGUGCUGCAU